rnacentral:rRNA from 1 species
UACGAAGGGGGCGAGCGUUGUUCGGAGUUACUGGGCGUAAAGGGCGCGUAGGCGGCGAUCCAAGUUAGGCGUGAAAGCCCCGGGCUUAACCUGGGAAUUGCGCUUAAGACUGGACUGCUUGAGUGCGGGAGAGGUGAGUGGAAUUCCCAGUGUAGAGGUGAAAUUCGUAGAUAUUGGGAAGAACACCAGUGGCGAAGGCGGCUCACUGGCCCGCAACUGACGCUGAGGCACGAAAGCGUGGGGAGCAAACAGG